UUUACCCUUCAUUUUUCUCAAAAAUUAAAAAAAAAGUUUUAUUGGAUAAUUAGACUCAGUUCAAAAGCAAUCUUUCUUCUGUCUCUUUUUAAAUGUGGAAAAGUAAUAUUAAUCAGUAUCACUACCAUUUAUUGAGUGGUUAGUGUAACUGGCAUUGAGUUUGCAUGUGUUAGUUGUUACAUUUAAUCCCUAGCACAGUUCAAGAGAGAGGCACGAUGGUUAUCUCCAUCCCACAGAUGAAGAAGGAGGAAUAGGAGCGUUUGCCCAAAAUCACACCCACCACCAAGACCCGGGCGUCUGUCUCUCGACCAGAGAACAGCACCUCGUUCCUAAUCUCCAGGUGUCUUUGACUCCCACCUUCAAAAGCAAGGUUACACCUCAUUUUUCUCAAAAAUUUAAAAAAAUGUUUUAUUGGAGAAUUUGACUCAGUACAAAAGCAAUCUUUCUUCUGUCUCUUUAAAUGUGAGUGCACAGCACUGAACACUCGAACACGGCCCCUUCUCCACACCAAGGGGGAGCUCCGCAGGACAGCUAUAGUUGUCCUCAUUCUGCUGAGAACAUAGGGACUGGGGACACCACGGAGGCUGGCCAUUUGGUGACCCAGGGUUCCAGCUGUGAUCUGUCCCUGCCUCGUGGUAGCCAGAAAACAAUUGAAAAAGACCAUGAGACCUGAGAUACCCUCCCUCUUCCCGUCACUCUCCCAUAUCUGGCGGGAUUUAUGGAUUAAAAGUCUGGGUAAUAAGCACACAUGAUGGAAUCGUUGUCGGCAGGCGGUGGCUUCAUGUCAUGACAGUGGCAGAGACAGCAGUGAGCUGAGAGCUUCAGCAGGACUUGGCCCUCAACUUUGCCUGUUUCCGGGAGCACUGCCUGGCCAGUUCCAACCAGCGCGUCGUGUCCCACGUUGGGCCAGGAGGAAACUGAGGCUCACUGAAGUUACAUCCAAGCCACUGAGCUUUCAAAUCCAGAUCUGCCUGACCUGAUCUCUUCCCACCCCCAGCACUACAACUCAGUUUGCACACCUCCAGCGACAGAGAACUCACUGCCUCCCCCGCAGCACAGCCUCGUGCUGGACGGCACUGACAAUUCUAAGACGGGAACAUCACUGGAAGAAAACAUGUUCUAUAGCUAAGAUGGAUGAAACUGCAGUUUGCAUUGAUUUUG